rnacentral:rRNA from 1 species
GAUGAACGCUGGCGGCGUGCCUAAUACAUGCAAGUCGAGCGAACAGACGAGGAGCUUGCUCCUCUGACGUUAGCGGCGGACGGGUGAGUAACACGUGGAUAACCUACCUAUAAGACUGGGAUAACUUCGGGAAACCGGAGCUAAUACCGGAUAAUAUAUUGAACCGCAUGGUUCAAUAGUGAAAGACGGUUUUGCUGUCACUUAUAGAUGGAUCCGCGCCGCAUUAGCUAGUUGGUAAGGUAACGGCUUACCAAGGCAACGAUGCGUAGCCGACCUGAGAGGGUGAUCGGCCACACGGGAACUGAGACACGGUCCAGACGCCUACGGGAGGCAGCAGUAGGGAAUCUUCCGCAAUGGGCGAAAGCUUGACGGAGCAACGCCGCGUGAGUGAUGAAGGUCUUCGGAUCGUAAAACUCUGUUAUUAGGGAAGAACAAAUGUGUAAGUAACUAUGCACGUCUUGACGGUACCUAAUCAGAAAGCCACGGCUAACUACGUG